rnacentral:rRNA from 1 species
UACGGGGGGAGCAAGCGUUGUUCGGAUUUACUGGGCGUAAAGGGCGCGUAGGCGGCGCAACAAGUCACUUGUGAAAUCUCCGGGCUUAACUCGGAACGGUCAAGUGAUACUGUUGUGCUAGAGUGCGGAAGGGGCAACUGGAAUUCUCGGUGUAGCGGUGAAAUGCGUAGAUAUCGAGAGGAACACCGGUGGCGAAGGCGGGUCUCUGGGCAGUAACUGACGCUGAGGAGCGAAAGCGUGGGGAGCGAACAGG